rnacentral:tRNA from 1 species
GGAGUCGUGGUGUAGUUGGUUAACACACCGGACUGUCACUCCGGAGAUCGCGGGUUCGAGUCCCGUCGACUCCGCCA